UCAAAGGACUCUUUUGGAGGGCUUGUCUAAGACUAUAAGAAUUGACAGAUAUUUACUUUAUGAUGUAUAACAGUAGCAACAUAACAGUUGAAGUAGCAACAGAAAUAAUUUUAUGUUGGGGAUCACUACAACAUGAGGAAGUGUAUACGUGUCAGGGUAUAAAGAAGGUUAAGAAUCAGUGCUCCAAGAUGGGCGUGGUGGCGCACGCCUUUAAUCCCAACACUUGGGAGGCAGAGGCAGGCGGAUUUCUGCGUUCAAGGCCAGCCUGGUCUACAGAGUGAGUUCUAGGACAGCCAGAGCUACACAGAGAAACCCUGUCUCGAAAAACCAAAAAAAAAAAAAAAAAAAAAAAAAAAAAAAAAUCCAUCUCCAGAGAGUCGAAGGAUCUUAUAGCCUUCAGCUAAGCACUGAUCGUGGUUCAGCAUGUGGGAAACUACCUAAGGCCUAGGAGAGAACUAUUACUGUAGAAUAUCAGAGGAGACAUUCAGCAUUCACUGGCUGUCAGACAGGACUGUCAGCUUUCUUUUUUCUUUUUGGUUUUUUUUUGGGGUUUUUUGUUUUUUUUUCGAGACAGGGUUUCUCUGUGUAGCCCUGGCUGUCCUGGAACUCACUCUGUGGACCAGGGUGGCCUCAAACUCAGAAAUCCACCUGCCUCUGCCUCCCAAGUGCUAGGAUUAAAGACAUGUGCCACCACUGCCCGGCUUUCAGGACUGUCAUUUCUGUCACACCAUCCAGAAUAGAAAACUUUAUGGUUUAUAGACAAACAGAGAGAAGGUUUAUGUCACAAAAUGGGCUAAAUUUCUUUCAGUUUUCCCUAACUUAGAAGGAAGACAUCAUAAUUAAAUUGAUCUAAACUAAUAAUGAAGUGGAAAUGUAAGUAUCUCAUAAGGUCUGUAUUCCCAUACAUCCCACAAAAGAGUUGAUAAAUUACACAAGUGUUCUAGAAGUCUAAGAAAGACUAUCAGUGUGUAGAUAAAGGCUCAUAAGCCAACUUGUGUUAAAGGAAACUCCAAAACCCUUACACAAAUGUACACGCAAUCUCUCUCUCUCUCUCUCUCUCUCUCUCUCUCUCUCUCUCUCUCUCUCUCUCACACACACACACACACACACACACACACCACAUGUGCACACAAAAACCCAUGUACAAACCUGUUCCUCAAAAGUUGAUUUGGAAAGGGCUCAACGAAAAAGGAAGCACAGAGCUUAUAUACAAAGAGGAAAUAACAAGAUAUAAACUCAGCUAUAUGAAAAAUCAUGCUUUACAUAGGUAACCUCACUUCCAGCUAAAAGGCAAGAAGUGUCAAUUGGAUACAAAACAUUAGUAUCCAACUAUAUGCUUCCUGUAAGAAAUCCACUUAAAUAAAAAGAGGGAAAAGGUAUGGAAAGGCUGGAGUAUGUGCUAAUACCAAUUUUAAGAAAGCAAGUGUAGUGAUACUUAAAGACAGUCUUUAGAACCAAGACUAUUUUCAAAGAACAAGGAGGCACUUCAUAAUUACAGAGCUGUCAGCCCAUGACAGAGAUGUCAGCACUGCAUAUCUGUGCUCUGCUAACACAACUGUAGAAUGUGAGGCAAACUCAUGGAGCUGUACAUAAAAUUAGGUAAAUGCUUAAUUACCGUCAGAGACUUCAAUGUCCUUUUCUCAAUAUUUGAUUGGACUAACAAAAUUUGAAGGAGAAAAGAUGUUUUAGCAACUACAAGCACCAGCCUAAUGAAGUAAUAUUUAUUAAAAAACAACAAC
rnacentral:lncRNA from 1 species